rnacentral:tRNA from 1 species
GGAGGGAUGGUGUAGUGGUGUAGCACUUUGUGUGACUACUAGAGUCAGCGGGCUCGAAUCCCGCUCCCCCCG